AGUGAACGCUGGCGGUAGGCCUAACACAUGCAAGUCGAACGGCAGCACAGUAAGAGCUUGCUCUUACGGGAGGCGAGUGGCGGACGGGUGAGGAAUACAUCGGAAUCUACUUUUUCGUGGGGGAUAACGUAGGGAAACUUACGCUAAUACCGCAUACGACCUACGGGUGAAAGCAGGGGAUCUUCGGACCUUGCGCGAUUGAAUGAGCCGAUGUCGGAUUAGCUAGUUGGCGGGGUAAAGGCCCACCAAGGCGACGAUCCGUAGCUGGUCUGAGAGGAUGAUCAGCCGCACUGGAACGGGGACACGGUCCAGAGUCCUACGGGAGGCAGCAGUCGGGAAUAUUGGACAAUGGGCGCAAGCAUGAUCCAGCCAGACCGCGUGGGUGAAGAAGGCCUUCGGGUUGUAAAGCCCUUUUGUUGGGAAAGAAAAGCAGCAGGUUAAUACCCCGCUGUUCUGACGGUACCCAAAGAAUAAGCACCGGCUAACUUCGUG
rnacentral:rRNA from 1 species